GGUAUAUUCGGGCGGUGGGUGUGGUGGGUGUGGGAAGCCCGGAUCCAUCUCUCGAGUCAGGGUAGGGCAGUUGGUGGAAGAGUUGAAUGUGGUGGCCGGACAUGCAAAGAAGGCGUCAUGACACAGGUGCGUUAGGAGUAUUAUAACUCUAUCCCGUAGACGUCUGCUUGGGUACUAUCAAACUAUCACUGCCAAUGUGACAAAUAUUUCGAUACGAUCUUUGCCAGGCGAGUAGUCCCAAGAAGGGGAAUUGCAAGAAUUGAAAGCCCUACUCCGUAUCGACGCAAAGAAGGACCUUGCUGCGAUAUCGUAAUGUGAUGUCCCUUUUAUUUUCCACGGAACAUAUGGAACCAUGAUUGCUAUAACAAGGAACUUUUGCUUGGCAUGUAUCAAACAGGACGGCAAAUAUCGAAACUCAACAUCAGGGAGAAGGCAAUUGGGAAUCAAGUUGGAGGCAAUAGCAUUGCAUCCCUGAAGUCACAGUCCCGCUGCAAUUCAAGGUCAAGAAGCAUUUUGGAGUAGGUGAUGCGUCUCCAAACAUCAUAGUAAAUAUGAACCAAGAACGAGAUAUCUGGAAAUGCAUCGUAUGAACCGGUUAGAAAUAGAGAGUUUGGUCCAGUGAAUAGUGUGCUUCUAGAGUCAUUUAACGUAUCAAGGUGAUAUCAAUAACAUUCUUGAGUGUGGUGAAAAUGUACUCUAUAUUUGAGAUAUGCAUUCGAUGGGGUAUUGGAAAG
rnacentral:sRNA from 1 species